rnacentral:rRNA from 1 species
AGAGUUUGAUCAUGGCUCAGAUUGAACGCUGGCGGCAGGCCUAACACAUGCAAGUCGAGCGGCAGCGACAACAUUGAACCUUCGGGGGAUUUGUUGGGCGGCGAGCGGCGGACGGGUGAGUAAUGCCUGGGAAAUUGCCCUGAUGUGGGGGAUAACCAUUGGAAACGAUGGCUAAUACCGCAUGAUAGCUUCGGCUCAAAGAGGGGGACCUUCGGGCCUCUCGCGUCAGGAUAUGCCCAGGUGGGAUUAGCUAGUUGGUGAGGUAAGGGCUCACCAAGGCGACGAUCCCUAGCUGGUCUGAGAGGAUGAUCAGCCACACUGGAACUGAGACACGGUCCAGACUCCUACGGGAGGCAGCAGUGGGGAAUAUUGCACAAUGGGCGCAAGCCUGAUGCAGCCAUGCCGCGUGUAUGAAGAAGGCCUUCGGGUUGUAAAGUACUUUCAGCAGUGAGGAAGGGGAUAUCGUUAAUAGCGGUAUUCUUUGACGUUAGCUGCAGAAGAAGCACCGGCUAACUCCGUGCCAGCAGCCGCGGUAAUACGGAGGGUGCGAGCGUUAAUCGGAAUUACUGGGCGUAAAGCGCAUGCAGGUGGUUUGUUAAGUCAGAUGUGAAAGCCCGGGGCUCA